AUCUCCAUUAUUCAGCUUGAGCAGUAAGGUCUACUACUGGUAUAUUUCUUGAAGAUAGAAACUGAAUCGGCUCUCAAUUUAUUUUGGCAGUGGGAAUUUUUGGAGGAGAAAACGAGGAGGGAUAAGGAGAUUUGAAGAAGUUGAACAGAGGUCGGUGUGGAUCUUGCUGUGCGAAAAUCCUCAAGGGCUGAAGACUGGUGCUUGUAACUCUGCAGCAGGAUCUGCAAACACGGAGUUUGGAAAUACCAAGGU